rnacentral:misc_RNA from 1 species
ACCAACUCACACUUCAGAUUUCAUUUGCAACCAAAGCCCAUCUUUCUCCACUUCAACUUCUUCAUCACCUACUCUUCUUCCUAUCACCACCACGCACACAGAUUUGUAUUUGCAGUAAUCCAUGGCCCCAGUAGCAGCAGCAGAGAUAAAGCCCAGAGAUGUUUGCAUUGUUGGUGUUGCCCGCACACCAAUGGGUGGAUUUCUUGGUUUACUAUCUACUUUACCUGCCACCAAGCUGGGAUCUAUAGCUAUUGAAGCUGCUCUUAAAAGGGCCAAUGUUGAUCCAUCACUUGUACAAGAAGU